GACGAACGCUGGCGGCGUGCUUAACACAUGCAAGUGGAGCGACGAACCGGGGCUUGCCCCGGGGCAAAGCCGCGAACGGGUGAGUAACACGUGGGUAACCCACCUCGAUGACCGGGACAACCCGGGGAAACUCGGGCUAAUACCGGAUGUGCUCUUCUCUCGCGAGAGAGGGGAGGAAAGGUAGCUUUGGCCUCCGCAUCGAGACGGGCCCGCGGCCCAUUAGCUUGUUGGUGGGGUAACGGCCUACCAAGGCUUCGAUGGGUAGCUGGUCUGAGAGGACGAUCAGCCACACUGGGACUGAGACACGGCCCAGACUCCUACGGGAGGCAGCAGUGGGGAAUCUUGCACAAUGCGCGAAAGCGUGAUGCAGCAACGCCGCGUGGGGGAAGAAGGCCUUCGGGUUGUAAACCCCUUUCAGUUGGGACGAAGCUUCGCCGGUUAAUAGCCGGCCGGAGUGACGGUACCUUCAGAAGAAGCUCCGGCUAACUACGUGCCAGCCGCCGCCGUAAAAC
rnacentral:rRNA from 1 species